rnacentral:rRNA from 1 species
CCUACGGGUGGCUGCAGUGGGGAAUAUUGCACAAUGGGGGAAACCCUGAUGCAGCAACGCCGCGUGAGCGAUGAAGGCCUUCGGGUCGUAAAGCUCUGUCCUAAGGGAAGAAUACUGACGGUACCUUAGGAGUAAGCCCCGGCAAACUACGUGCCAGCAACCGCGGUAAUACGUAAGGGGCUAGCGUUAUACGGAAUUACUGGGCGUAAAGGGUGCGUAGGCGGCCCUUCAAGGCAGAGGUGAAAGGCUAGGGCUCAACCGUAGUAAGCCUUUGAAACUGUAGGGAUUGAGUGCAGGAGAGGAGAGUGGACUACCCAGGUUAGCGGUGAAAUGCGUAGAUAUUGGGAGGAAGACCAGGUGCGAAGGGGAAUCUCUGGCCUGUAACUGACGCAGAGGCACGAAAGCGUGGGGAGCGAACAGGAUUAGAUACCAUAGCAGUA